rnacentral:hammerhead_ribozyme from 1 species
GUCCAGCUGACGAGUCCCAAAUAGGAUGAAACGCGUGUCCUGGAU